rnacentral:lncRNA from 1 species
AUGACUUUCGCUUGUUCUCUUUAAGCAAUGGUUUGAAAGAGGUAGUAGCAUGAUGUGGGACGAGGCUAGUUCUAGAGGAUGCAAGCAAACAAAAUUAAUAACAAUGCAGUAGAUAACCAGCAAACAAUGAUAACGGAGGUGAUUAUGUUAAAAUCAGAAAGAAAUUACUAUGAUGCAUGCAAAUAGUUCAAUCUCCUAGAUCUAGAAAAAGGCCGUAGAUGAUUGAGAAACCAUCCAUGAUUAGGGC